rnacentral:lncRNA from 1 species
UCGGAAGUAAGAGAGGGAAGAGAGACCGAGAGAAAUUGAGAGUGAGAGAAACCGAGAGAGAGGAAGGAGGAGGCCGCACGAGGAAGAAGGAGGGAGUUUGUCCGCCGUUCGUUGCCGUUUUGCCUCUGUUUGCUGCUGUUUUGUGCUUGAAUCUAAGGCAAGUAGAGUCCUAAAACCUACCCUUUGCUUGCUGUGAAGUGUGUGUGUGGAAGAUGAUAAAUCGUGGUUGUGGUAAGUGGUGCAAUUUCGGAGCUUUGGGGAGAGGUUUGUUGGUCUUGAAUGCUGUUUCUGGAAAAUCAGCUUGACUGUUCACGAGUUUGGGGGUUGCAUGCGACUUUUUUAUUUGGAAUUUCACUUCGACCUCUUCAUGAACAUUGUAGAGAAUAUCUUGAAGUAUAAUAUACUAAAAUUUCAGACAAAAUGGACAAGUAUUAAGGGGUGAAAUCCUUUUUCUACGAAAAUGUUAGAUCUGGAAACUGUUUUGUUGACCUCUUGGUGAUUUCGUGUGUUGCAUGUCACCUUUUACUUAAACUCUCACUUCAACCUCUUCAUGAGAGUUGUAGAGAACAUCUUGAAUAUUAACAUACCUAAAUUUGAGAUAAAACGAAUAAUGUUUGCUUGGCGAAACGAUUUUUCCUUUGAAGACGUUAGAUCUGGAAAUGUUGUACUGAGCUUCACUGAUUUCGUGGACUAUAAAGUGAUUUUCUUUUGAAAAUAUCACAUUGAUCUCUUAAUGAAAGUUGUAGUAGACUUCUUGAGGUAAAGCAUAUAAAAAAUUCAGAGGAAAAGAAGAAAGAUAAGUCGGUGAAAUUGUUUUUCUUUGAGAAAACCAGAUCUGGAAAAUAUUACUUCGACCCAGUAAGACUCCGUGAUUUGUAUAACAUCAUGUGGUCAAAAUUUGAUCAUAUGUUGUUAAUGAAAGUUGUAUUUAAUAUUUUGAGGAAUAACAUACUGAAAAAUUUGAAUAAAUGAACAUAUAUAAGUCGAAGAAUCGAGUUUCUUUGAAUGAUGAUAGUCUGGAAAGAUAAACCCGAAAACAGGAAAGUAAGCUGGUUUUAACUUUUAAUCUGGAACGAAUUUGACUUUGGCUUCUUCAUGAAACUUGUAGCUAUAGAUCUUAAAUACAACGUGUCAAAAUUUCAGAAUUUUCUGAGUCCAUUUGAGGGUUCAAUUGAAGUUGUUUUCGAAACUGUGCAUGGGUCAUGUUAAAAACCCUUUUCAGUGAUAUAUACGGAUCUGUACGUAUUCUGUAAAGCCUUUUUUGAUGUGGUGUCCUUCACGAAAUAUGCUUUCUUAGAUCUUAUCUACAUUUUGGUAAAUUUUCAGAAUUUAUUUCCAUCGUUUACUAAUUUUCUAGAAUUUUUCAUGAAUAGCACGCAUUCUGUUUAAGCUGGAAAUUGUUUUAUUUACUGUUUAUCAGAUUUAUUAUGCAAAUCAUGAUGUCCUGGAUUAUUAUUCGUGCAAUGACAUGAUGACAUUCAUACAUUUCAUAUGACAUCAAAGGAUUGAUGGAUUUUCAUAAAUUCAAUGAAGUUUUCAAAACCAUUGCAUCAAAUGAUACCUUUCCCAAGGCAUAUUAUAUGAUUUUUUUUUAAAAAAAGGGCUGCCGCCAAAUCAUUGACAUUGUUGCAUCAAAUGUGAAAUUGAAAAUGAGAUGUAUGGGAAUAUGCAUUGUGGUGAUGAGAAGACCAUCGGAGGUGUGAGCCGACGAUGCCCCGGGAGUGUCGGGAUGCCCGGAAAGUGGGGGUGCCGGAUGCCCGGUGGCCCAGUGGCGUAAUUCCGGAGGGUCCUCGGGAGUUUCGAGAUGCCUGGUGGUAUUCGCUACGUAAUUCCAGAGGAGGGGGGAUCCUGGUGGUAUGUCGGUACGAAAUUCCGGAAGCCCCGGAGGUUUGUGCCCGGGGGGAUGCCUCGUGAUGCUAGUUGGGAUGCGAGAUGCCCGGAAUGUGGGGGGCCGGAUGCCCGGUUGUAUUUUGAAUACAUGCCCGAAGGUUUCUCGCGAUGCCUGGUUGGAUGCGAGCAAUAAAUUGUGGGAUGCAAACAUUGGUCCCUGGAAAGAAAAAUUAAUGAGAUCCUUGUGAAAGAUAAGAAUUGAAAAUGAAUCACGUGCAUGGGUGUAUGCAUAUAGCAUGAUGCAUGAUUUGCUUAUGAAAAUAAAUUGAUGCUAUUUGGCAUUGAGAAAGCGAUCAUGAAGGCUUGAAAGGAUCUCAUGGUGAUGCAUGCUUGAUAGCAUGGAUGAUACGAAUCAUGGUGAUAUAUGCACGAUGGCAUGGUGAGAUAUGCAUGACUGCAUGGUGGUAUAUGCACAUAUGGCAUGGAUAUGUAUGACAUGAUGGUGAUGAGUACAUGAGGAUGUAUGUACAUAUGGUAUGAUGACAUAUGCAUAGCUGUAAGGUAAGUUAUGCUUGAAUGCAUGGACGAUAUGUGCUUGGUAUGAUGCCUUGAUUGUUCUGUUUGAUUUAUUGAAUAGUUUGGUGGAUCUUUACUGCUGAGUGGUUGUACUCACCCCUUUUGGGGAAUAACAUUUCAGACUAGAUAAGAUACCUCUGCUGCCACUGUCACUAGUAGAUGGAUCAAGUGAUUGGAUAUGACCGCGAGGAGGAGGAUAGCAAAGGAACGAACUUUUGGACGCCGACACUGAUCGAUGGACUUUAAGUAUACG